rnacentral:lncRNA from 13 species
GGUUAUAGAGGGGGUUGGGCUGUGACAGGUUAGAGAGGGGGUUGGGUUGUGACAGGUUAGAGAGGGAGUUGGGUUGGGACAGGUUAUAGAGGGGGUUGGGCUGUGACAGGUUAGAGAGGGGGUUGGGUUGGGUUGUGACGGGUUAGAGAGGGGGUUGGGGUGGGUUGUGAUGGGUUAGAGAGGGGAUUGGGUUGUGACAGAUUAUAGGUCAACUCCAUCUUUCUUCAGUCAACUAAGGAAGUGGAUUGGAAUUCCACUUAAUGAAUAUAAAAUUCCUCUUUGAAAAUAAACGGCCUCUUAAAUUCUUUAAUUUUAAUUUAAACCCAAACCGAUCUACUAACUUAAGUAAAGCACAUUUUUUCUGAACAGACCAACUAUCUAAAAUGUAGAUUCAUAGGCUUUCACACAAGGACAUAGGUCCAAACUAGAGGCCCCAGUCUGAAUAUACCAUGAGGCAACAGUUGUAAUUCUCCAGAGCAGCAGUACUAGCUACUCUCUCUCUGAUCCAGGUCACCCGGAACAGCAGGGUCCAGUGUGCCUUUGUAUGGCUGCUCAACGUCAGGGGGCCAGGGUGUGUGUGUGUCAGAGAACGGGGGGGAUGGUGGAGGGGGGGGGUUUCAAAGCCACUAUUUUCCUCCUUUCACAAGCACCGACCCUCACCCCUCGCGUUCCAUCCCAUGUUACCCCCUCCUCCCUCUCCCUUUGCACCCAUCAUCUCUCCCAUCGUCUUUUUCUCCUUAAACCAUCUUUUGUUUUCUUUUUCUGAUGGCAUUUCUCCUCUCUUGUUGUCAAGGCCCUAAAUGAGUCUUGACCGGCCCCCGGGCCACUGGAGAAGCACAAAGGAUCGUGUUCCGCUCGCUACAGUUGAGCCAUUGUGGCCGCUGACAACGCACUAAUUGGCAAUGACAAUUAAGCGCGGUCGACACUCAGGUUCAAUUUGCCUGCUCCUCAAUACAAAUCACAGGCAAAUGAGUCAGGCGAUACACAGUUUGAACACACACACAUUGUUCUGUUACAGUUUUCUCUUGCCUUGUUUGGAACUUGUGGGAAGCCUGCUGACUGGCAUGGUUUUGGACUGGUUGGAAAGCCUGCAGGCUCUUGCCUUGUUUGGGACUGGUUGGAAAGCCUGCAGACUCUUGCCUCAUUUGGGAAGCCUGCAGACUCUUGCCUUGUUUGGGAAGCCUGCAGGCUCUUGCCUCGUUUGGGAAGCCUGCAGACUCUUGCCUCAUUUG